GAUCCUGGCUUAGGAUGAACGCUAGCUACAGGCUUAACACAUGCAAGGUCGAGGGGCAGCAUGAUCGAAGCUUGCUUGAUGAUGGCGACCGGCGCACGGGUGAGUAACGCGUAUCCAACCUUCCCUAGUAGUAGAGGAUAGCCCGGCGAAAGUCGGAUUAAUACUCUAUGUUGUAUUUAGAAGACAUCUGAAGAAUACCAAAGGUUUUACCGCUAUAGGAUGGGGAUGCGUCUGAUUAGGUUGUUGGCGGGGUAACGGCCCACCAAGCCUACGAUCAGUAGGGGUUCUGAGAGGAAGGUCCCCCACAUUGGAACUGAGACACGGUCCAAACUCCUACGGGAGGCAGCAGUGAGGAAUAUUGGUCAAUGGACGAAAGUCUGAACCAGCCAAGUAAGCGUGCAGGAUGACGGCCCUAUGGGUUGUAAACUGCUUUUAUAUAGGGAUAAAGUCGGGGACGUGUCCCCGUUUGUAGGUACUAUAUGAAUAAGGACCGGCUAAUUCCGUGCCAGCCGCCGC
rnacentral:rRNA from 1 species